rnacentral:rRNA from 1 species
GAUAAACGCUGGCGGCGUGCAUAACACAUGCAAGUCGAACGAUGAAACUUAGCUGAUUUCUUCGGAAUGAAAAUAAGUGGAUUAGUGGCGAACGGGUGAGUAACACGUGAGUAACCUGCCCUACACAAGGGGAUAGCCUUUGGAAACGAAGAAUAAUACCCUAUAACGUCAAAAUAUCGCAUGAUAAAGUGACCAAAGAUUUAUCGGUGUAAGAUGGACUUGCGUCUGAUUAGCUAGUUGGUGAGAUAAAAGCCCACCAAGGCGACGAUCAGUAGCCGGCUUGAGAGAGUGUACGGCCACAUUGGGACUGAGACACGGCCCAAACUCCUACGGGAGGCAGCAGUGGGGAAUUUUGCACAAUGGGGGAAACCCUGAUGCAGCGACGCCGCGUGAUUUAGAAGGCCUUCGGGUUGUAAAAAUCUUUUUUAUGGGAUGAAAAUGACAGUACCAUAAGAAUAAGGUCCGGCUAAAUACGUGCCAGCAGCCGCGGUAAUACGUAUGGACCGAGCGUUGUCCGGAAUCAUUGGGCGUAAAGGGUACGUAGGCGGCCUAGUAAGUUAGAAGUGAAAUAAUAUAGCUCAACUAUAUAAAGCUUUUAAAACUGUUAGGCUUGAGAGAUGAAAGGGAAAGUGGAAUUCCUAGUGUAGCGGUGAAAUGCGCAGAUAUUAGGAAGAAUACCGGUGGCGAAGGCGACUUUCUGGUCAUCAUCUGACGCUGAGGUACGAAAGCGUGGGUAGCAAACAGG